UGAUGUUCCUGAAGGAUGUGUGAUAAUAAGAGAGCAUGUUCCCAUCACAAAUCUUUUCACCUGCCUAUGGUUCAAUGAAGUUGGUCGAUUUACUUCCUGGGAUCAGCUGAGCUUUUCAACUGUGAAGGAUAAAAUAAUGGCUAAAGUUGACUGGAGCAUCAAUAUGUUUCUUGACUGUGAAAGACGGAAUUUUGUGAUCCAGGUUGCACUUUACCUCAUUCUUUAUAAUAUAGAAGGACAUCAUACCAUGUUUUUGUUUUUGGUUAGAAGAGGGCAUUGGGACGCCAAUCUGGUGUUUUGUUACCCUUGGGAGGUUUUUAUUUCAAGGGGUGUUAGUCUGCAAAAUGCUUGUUUUAGUUAAAUGGUUGUAAGGUUGUACCAUUAUUUGCAUUAAUAAUGUCCGGUUAAAGAAAAUGUCAAAACUGAAACUGGUGCGUGCAUGCAUGUUGAAAAUAGUAAAUCUUUUCUUGGUAGAUAAUUAGUAGGUUAUCAGUUGAAAAUAUUCUUAAGUGCUUGUUUGUGUUUCAUUGUAAGUUGUUGAAAUUAUAUCAUGAUAGAAAAAGAGUGAUACAUAAGUGGGUAGUAUUUGUGGUUCCUAUAAAAUGUGUGGUUUUAAUUAAAGUUUGACUUUGACCUUUAAUUAUAAGGAGAUUAUAAUGAAACGCAAAGAAGCUCCAAUUAUUCUUUCUGAUUGUUAGCUUAAUGUUUAUUCGGUUAAAGAAAUGGUUGAAGAACCAGGUACCCCGUACCUAUGCAAGCAUAUUUGAGAAAGUCAAUUCUCUCCAUGUUUAGCUAAUUAGUAAGUUUGAGCCAGGAAGAAGUUAGAAAAACAUGUACAGGUUACUUAGUGUUUGAUUUAUUGCUUGUUGGUUUACUGGUCAAGAAAAUUUUUAUAUAUAAUCGUUGGACUGCUUUGGUUGUUUCAAGAUUUCCGAAUAAGAACUCAAUGAUCUUUUUUGUAAUGAUCUUGUUUUAUGCUAUUAAAUUCCACCAUUUCUGUGCAUGAUCUUGAAAUUUGUAAUGGCCUUUUUUUGCAAGAAAAUAUGGUAUCGGGUCGCAAUAUUCCAGAAACAUUCAACAUGAUAGUUUGAAUUUAAAUACUUCGAAGUGACUUUUUAAAAUAUUUUAGUAGCUGUAAAAUACUUUAUCAAUCCAUUCAUUUACAGGCAUAUCACAGAGAUUUGUUGGAACAAAGGGCUCAUAUGGCUGUUGCAAGAAGUUACACUCCACCAGCUUUAGUUCGUGACAGAAAUCCUACUAAGAGAUCUCCUGUUCGACGCAGAAAAGGAGAUAGGAGAUCUGGCUCAAGGAGGCACCGUAAAGUCCCUCGAAAUAGGGAAAAUGCUUGAAUUCAAUUUUAUCCCUUUUGUGCCAAAAUUAAGUUAUAGUCUCUUUUAUUUGACAAAAAUAUGACAUUUUUUUCAGAUUUUUCUAGGGUAUAGUUUUAGGGUUUUAGCAGAGAUCGAAAUACGGAAGAAAAAUACUUGAAUUUUGUGCAAAACUGUCGAUAUCAAUUCUUUCAUGCUGUAAAUACUAAAUGCCAAUAAUUUUGACAAGUUCUUGAUUCAGAAAUUCAACUGCACUUUAGAUAUUGUUGAACCAUUAGUCUUUCAAUUUAACUUUAUGUCUCUUGCUUUUGGAAACACUUUUAUUUGGAUCCAAUCUUGUGGAUAAUGAACUUCUAUUUCUUUAUUUACAUCUUUCGUUUAAAGAAUCUAUUCUUUGCUUUCUUUUUGGUCACCGUCACAUGGUUCAAUGAAUGAAAAUAUUUUCUUUGUUGGACAAUGGAAUAGUGGAAGAUGAUUGUUCAUCAUCCUUGUUGACGAAGAAAACUACUUUAGCUGUUCUCAACUAGAAAUAUGACGG
rnacentral:lncRNA from 1 species